GUCCCCUUCGUCUAGAGGCCUAGGACAUCGCCCUUUCACGGCGGUAACAGGGGUUCUAAUCCCCUAGGGGACGCCA
rnacentral:tRNA from 1 species